rnacentral:rRNA from 1 species
UGAUCCCAUCCCGAACUCAGAAGUGAAACGCAAUCGCGCCGAUGGUAGUGUGGGGUCUCCCCAUGUGAGAGUAGGUCAUCGCCAAGC